rnacentral:misc_RNA from 1 species
GAUGAAGAACGCAGCGAAAUGCGAUACUUGGUGUGAAUUGCAGAAUCCCGUGAACCAUCGAGUCUUUGAACGCAAGUUGCGCCCGAAGCCUCGGCUAAGGGCACGUCUGCCUGGGCGUCACGCAUCGCGUCUCCCCCAAACCGCCAAGGCGGAGGGGAAGGAAGAUGGCUUCCCGUGCCUCACCCGGGCGCGGUUGGCCUAAAUUUGGAGCCCGCGGCACUUAGCUCUCGCGGCGAUAGGUGGUGAACAAGGCCUUGGCCGUGCAAACAACCCGCUGCGAAGCUCUAUGUCACGUGCGCUCGUCGGACCCUUUGAAGUUGCCUUUGGUGACUUAAAACCUUUGCGACCCCAGGUCAGGCGGGGCUACCCGCUGAAUUUAAGCAUAUCAAUAAGCGGAGG